ensembl:lncRNA
AUGAAUCAUCAGAACCGCAAAGAAAGUUCUGCAAGUGGUUCAUUCUUAGAAUCCUCCAGCGUUUCACUUCAGAGAAUCUGCAUUGAGAGAGAAGCUCCUGUCCAAACACAAUCCUGUUACCGCAGCUCAUCUGGACAAAUGUUUGUCUGCAACCCUCUUGGAUGUCAUUUCUCUUAGCACUGUUGAGAUAAACAGGAGAGAGUGAGAGUGAUGGAGACAGAAGGGAAAGUCAAGCAUGAGUGCUUCAGGAGUGACCCUUUAAAGAAACAGCUCUGAUCACCAUCACAGACGCUGUGAACACAAUGACACACAGUGCACAUUUACUGCAUACACAUGCAAAACUCACCAACAUAUGGAAGCCCAUUUCUGCCAUUGAGUAAAAUAUACAAAAGUUAAUUGUGACUUUUUUAUCUCACAAUUCUGACUUUUUUCUCGCAAGUGCAAGUUUACAUCAGAAUUACAUCAGAAUUGCGAGUUAUUAAGUCGCAGUUUUGUGUUAUAAAGUCAGAAUUGCAUGAUAUGAACUGGCAAUUCUGAGAAAUAAAGUCAGAAUUUAGAUAAAAGCUCA